AUGUGUGUUUUUAAUCUGCAUAUGAACACACAAACACAUACACACAUUAUUUCUUUGAAAAACUUUGCUAUUUCUGUGGCUCUUGAUAGUGCCUCCUUUGCAACUCAGCAGCUUGAUUUAGAGAAAACGAUAAGUCCAUUGAAGCUUAUUGUUUAUUCAUUUCUUUAACUGUUAAUUAUGAGUUCCCACAAUGCUCAGGUUCUUUUCUUAACCAGUUUUUUUUUUCCUUUUUUAAAAAUUUUUCUUAUUUUUUCUUACCCAGUUUUUAAACUAUUCCCAGCAUGUCCUGAUAUUAUAUUUAUUGAUGUUACAGAGAACAGAUACAGAAAUAUAAUGGAGAUAGCCUGGCUGACUGAACAUUGACCAAACACAGUCCAAGAUUAAUCAUCAACCUUAUUCUUUCAGAAAAUCCAUUUUAACACCCAUUUUUCAUCACCUGGAAUUGAUCAAGUACAGAAAUACUAACUCAUUCUCCAUUCUCAAAGGACCCUGAGUUGAUGGGAUUUCAAGAAACUACACUCUGGAUGUUGACUUAGGAAAACAGGGAUGAGAAGCACAAUAAAUUUGAUAGCAGUAGUCUCUUGGAAGAUGGUGUGUACUGGACCAAAUGCCGAGAAGAAUUGGAUCAUUUGACCUGAAAUGAAGUCAGUCCCAGCAGCUGUGAUCAUUGCAAUCUUGUUGCAGUCCUCCAAUCUAUUUUUCACACAACAGCAAGAACAAUAAAAA